AUUAUUAUUCUCUCUCUCUCUCUCUCUCUCUCUCUCUCUCUCUCACAUUAUUUACAUUUUCGUACUAUUGUUUUUUAAUUUGCAUGACAUUUCGGCUGUGGUUAAUCCGAACGUGGCCAUUCUGGAUGCUCUCAUUUAACAUACAUUAUGCGAUAUAUGAAUGAUUAACUAUCAUGAUGUUACCACAUCCUUCGUCAUUGAGACAUUGGACAUCCACGGUGAAUGUUAACCCUGGAUUUUUUUCUGAAGUAUUGCAAGUAUUGGAACAAGUACUGAAUGAAGACAAAGAUUGUUCUUGGAUAUUUGAUGCAAUGAGUGUACGGCAACAAUUAUGUUAGAGUGAAACAGAUCACAGAUAUAUAGGUUAUUGUGAUUAUGGAAAUAAUUUUAAUUUUAAAGAAAAUGAGAAAGAAGCAAAAGAGGUAUUAGUUUUCAUGAUAGUAAAUUUAAAAGGGAAGUGGAAGUGGCCAAUAGCAUAUUUUUUUAAAAAUGGAAUGCUAUCAGCAACAUUAGCGAAACUAAUAAAAACUGCACUAAUUUUAACAAGCAAAGCAAAAUUAAAAGUAAGAUCAAUAACCUGUGAUGGUGACAGUAUUAAUAUUAGUGCUUUAAGAAAACUAGAUUGUAAAAUAUUUCCUGAAAAUCAUCAAAAUAUUAAAAAUUUUUUUAUUCAUCCCAUUGAAAAUUCUAAAGUAACUAAACGUCAAAAGCAUGUAAACGUCAUUUUAGAUGCAUGCCAUAUGCUCAAACUAGCGAGAAAUGCUCUUGCAGAGCUUAUGGAGAAUUUGAAUGCAAUAAUAAAAGAAUUAAUUGGAA